rnacentral:rRNA from 1 species
AGGAAUUGACGGGGGCCCGCACAAACGGUGGAACAUGAGAUUUAAAAAGAAGAAACGCGAAGAACCUAACCAGUUCUUGACAUCCAAGAAAACCCUAGAGAUAGGGCUUCUCCUUCGGGAGCAGAGUGACAGGUGGUGCAUGGUUGUCGUCAGCUGAAUCGUGAGAUGAUGGGUAAAAUACCCCAACGAGCGCAACCCUUAAUCUUAGUUGCCAUCAUUAAGUUGGGCUCUCUAAGGUGACUGCCGGUGACAAACCGAAGGAAGGUGGGGAUGAAGUCAAAUCAUCAUGCCCAUUAUGACCUGGGCUACACACAUGAUACAAUGGACGGUACAAAGAGCUGCAAGACCGCGAGGAGAGCUAAUCUCAUAAAACCGUUCUCAGUUCGGAUUGUAGGCUGCAACUAGCCUACAUGAAGCUGGAAUCGAAGUAAUCGCGGAUCAGCAUGCCGCGGUGAAUACGUUCCCGGGCCUUGUACAAACCGCCCGUCACACCACGAGAGUUUAAACACCCGAAAUUAUCGGGUAUCCUUUUUGAGCCAGCCCCUAAGGGGGACAA